GUAUGCGAUGCACCCAGGUUUACUUCAUCCUACUCCUUCUCGUUCAUCUGGCUACAACUUCUAAAAGAAAAAGAAAACAAUAUUCUAGUGCGCUUUGUAACAACAUAAAUAAGCAGCAAAUCCCCACACAGCUCAAGAACUGAAGUUUCAGUGGACGUCUUCCAAUCCCACGACUAGGCCAUCUUCCUAUUCUACAAUUAGGAACUCGAGAGCAGAUGUCAGUGAGCUAUGGGCCUCUGGAGAACAAGGGCCAGCCCUGUAGGUGUCUGUCUGAGCUCACUGGGUGCAUGGCCGGUAAGGUCCGCUCAGGGACCCUCUCCCCCUAAAAACGUGACACAUUGUGACCUUUACGUGACCUUGGAUGAGGAUAAGAAUGAGAAUCUUUGAAGUUAAAAAUAUCUGAUGGUAACUUAAGCUGAGAUUUUAUUUUAAAACAUGUUAUGUAAGCAGUGUCAGUUUUCUUGUAUGUUGACAAGCUAAUUAACACACAAUAUCCCUACUGACCAGGUGUAUUAAUUAAAGAGUGCUGCCCUCCAGGGCAGCCAUUCAAAGAAUGGCCAGACAUGACAUUAGGUAGCUGUUCAUUCAUUCACCCAUUCUAGCUCUUGUAUUCUGUUUUUUUAAAUCAGCAUAUUUCUGCCUGCAGAGGGUAACAACAUGCCUUUCAGCCUUACAUAGCCACAUGCUAGGCCAGUCAAUUCAGUACAUCGCGUUCUUAGCAUUUAAACUAACAUGGUAUGUGAAGAGUUAUAAUUGACAGUCUUUAUUAAAAGAUUCAAUGUU